UACGCUGUCUAGAGUUUGAUCAUGGCUCAGAGCGAACGCUGGCGGCGGGCCUAACACAUGCAAGUCGAACGGAUCCUUCGGGAUUAGUGGCGGACGGGUGAGUAACACGUGGGAACGUGCCUUUUGGUUCGGAACAACUCAGGGAAACUUGAGCUAAUACCGGAUAAGCCUUUCGAGGGAAAGGUUUAUCGCCAUUAGAGCGGCCCGCGUCUGAUUAGCUAGUUGGUGGGGUAAAGGCCCACCAAGGCGACGAUCAGUAGCUGGUCUGAGAGGAUGAUCAGCCACAUUGGGACUGAGACACGGCCCAAACUCCUACGGGAGGCAGCAGUGGGGAAUCUUGCGCAAUGGGCGAAAGCCUGACGCAGCCAUGCCGCGUGAAUGAUGAAGGUCUUAGGAUUGUAAAAUUCUUUCACCGGGGACGAUAAUGACGGUACCCGGAGAAGAAGCCCCGGCUAACUUCGUGCCAGCCGCCGCGGUAAU
rnacentral:rRNA from 1 species